rnacentral:lncRNA from 1 species
GCUACGCCCUCUGGGGCUGCUGCUCCUAGAGAUAGCAAAGGUUAGUGUGGGGAUCGCCUGGGGCGGGGAGCAGCCACCAGCCACCUGACCUCCGGGUAUCCACGGAGACCCUCCGCCUGGCCCCUCCAGAAUGGAUGCCUCCAAGGAGCCCACUGGGUGCCCGGCCAGAGGGACAUGCCCAGUGUUCCUGGCCAUGAGCUCGGGUACUGUACGCUUCACCCCAUCAGGCCCGGGUCCUGCCCUUUUGAAGUGCUUGGGAGAGGAGCCUUGGGACACAGGCA